CACCUUUUCAAGGCUGUCCUUUAAUGUGUGUGUUUGGAAAGUAGAAAAGGAGGCGGCAAAGAAAUACACGUAAUACAAUUUACUCCAAGACCCAAGACUUAAGACCAUGUAUCAGAGAUGACUUCGCUUAGGGGUUCAGAAAAUUCACUGGCAGGUCAAAAAUAGCAAGAAAUGUUGCCUUAGUGUUAAAAUUUUGCUGGUUUAUAGCUAAUUACUUUAGUGAAAAUAGUAGUACAUACUUGUAUUAGUCAGCUUGGCUACCAUAGGAAAUACUAUAGAGUAGGUGGCUUAAACAACAGAGAUGUGUAUUUUUUAGUUAUUUUCUCAUAAUUCUUUUUGACUAGAAGUCCAAGAUUAAGGUGCCAGCACAUUUAGUUUCUGGCAAGGCGUCUGUUCCUGGCUUGCAAUGGUCACCUUCUGAAUGGAUCUUCACAUUGAUAGAAAAGAGCUAUACGAAAGAUUACACAACUCAGUUCUGACCAUUGAGGAAAAGAAGCCAUUAGUUUCCUGGUGAAUGAAGAUAGACACAGCUUGAGUCAUACCCUCCCCUUUCUGCCUUGAAUGUAGGUAUGAUGGCUACAGCAGUGGCAACUAACCUAUAACCAUGAGAGAAAAUAGUAGAGACAUAAAGAAAAUAAUAAAAACCAUCCCUGAAAUCAUUAAACAAUGAGCCAGUGUCAGCAACU
rnacentral:lncRNA from 1 species